AUGUCGAAUAAGCCAAGUAAAGAUGGCGAAGUUCUGCCAAUUGUACACAACUUACUUAAAAACUCAUCAUCCCACGGACUACCAAAUAUAUAUUCUUCGAGAAAUGUUGUUGCCAAGCUUUUCUGGGGUAUGGUAUUCUGUGCUGGGCUUUGCCUUAUGUUUUGGCAAGUCUACACGUUGUUCGAAGCCUAUUUUGCGUACGAAUACAUAGUUGGCCUUGAAGUUAGAUAUAACAAAACUCUGCCGUUUCCCGCGGUAACGAUCUGUAAUUUAAAUCCUGUACUGAAAAGUAAACUAGAAGAAGCAGACGAGAGCUUCAGAGAUAAAUUUGACUCAAAUUAUGUACCACCGAAGGAUAAAGACACUCAAGAUGAUAAAAACAACAUGGUUACCAGCAGCAGCCUAACUUCGGCUACGAAUGAUGACGGUGGAUCAAGUCAGGGAACCAGAAUGGAUGGAGAAACAACGACACAAGCAGUUAAUACAACAGAACCUGUAAAGUCAUGGGAUGAACUUGAAAAUACCGAGUACUUUACUGGGCAAUCAGCUGAAUAUAAACAAAGACAAAAGCUGACGAUUGCGCUCUCAGACAUGACGUUAGAUGAAAGGCAUCGUAUUGGUCAUAGUUUGCAAGACAUGCUCCUCGAUUGCACGUGGAAGGGCUAUCCAUGCUCACCGACAAAUUUCACUAGAUUUUACCACUACCGAUAUGGGAAUUGCUACACUUUCAAUAAUGGACAGCUAUCAUCAAUACUUACUACCAACAAACCGGGUCCAAAUUACGGACUAAGUCUUGAAUUAUUCGUCGAUCAGUCAGAAUACAUGGACGAUAUCACUGAUUCAGCCGGGCUACGGAUCUCGAUCCAUGAUCCCAAUAAAAUGCCCUUUCCCGAAGACGAUGGUUUGUAUAUUGGUCCUGGUCAGCGGACAUCCAUAUCCACUCGCGUGAUGGAAAUUGAUCGAUUAGGCAAACCUUGGGGAGAUUGUACAGAUGUUAACAAUUACAAUACUACAAAUAUUUAUAUCAAUAUGUAUAACGUCAGUUACAGUAUGCAGGCAUGCGAAAGAAGUUGCUAUCAGUAUUCGGUAAUUGAGCAAUGCAGCUGCGCAGACACAAACUUCCCAUUUCCAGUUGAACUACUUAACUUAGUACCAUGUGAUACAGAAGACAAUGAAACGGCUCGAAUUUGUAUCGAAAAUAUGGAGGCAAAGUACGAUAAUGAUGAGCUCAUGUGUAGCUGCAAUCAAACAUGCGAAGAGGAAAUAUACCUCACUUCAAUAAGUCAAUCGGAAUGGCCCUCCCAGGGCUACCAGAACACGUUAUUUAAGAGAAUGGAAGAGAGAAAUUCCAAAAUGCGAUCUAACGUUAAAGGACCUGAAGCAGAUGACUGGACUAAGAGAAAUGUGGCAAAAUUAGAUGUAUAUUUUAUGGAAUUGAACUACCAAUACAUCAAACAGAGUCCGGCAUAUGAGGUAAAGGAUCUCCUGAGUGACAUUGGAGGUCAGCUUGGACUUUGGAUUGGCGUAUCAGUUGUCACACUUAUGGAGAUGAUGCAGCUCGUGGGGGCGGUGUUUGGGGCAUUAUUUGCCAAACUGCAUGGACCCCAUUCAGAUCCAAAGAUAUUUCCAUCAACAUAGUGUUAGUUACGAUAAUCAUGAAAUCGUACUUGAUUGGAGAGGUUCCUUUAUCUAUACGUUUUUUAUUUGUUUGUAAAUUGUCAAAAAAGUGAAGUGAUUGAUAGGGCAAAAAAAAAAAAAAAAAAAAAGAUGCAGUGCGCGACGGGUAAUUUUCGCGUGAGAUGGUGAAUACGCUUAUUUUUCCACGUUUCUAUAAAUUCUACAAUAGACCCUACCAUUAUAUAGCACACAACUGAUACUCGGUGAGCUUAAGUUCGAAAGAUUUCUUGUCAACGAUCGGCGUGUGGCUCACAUGCGCUGCUAUAUGCCUACAAGCUAUACGGUAGUAUUCGAGUCCUGCAAAAUAGCUUUCGUGAAAUAUAAACAAUAAAGCAGAUAAUAAUUAUUGAUUUUAUUUUAAACUUUGAAAGCCUAGAACAAUUAACUUUCAAAUUAUUUGUGAAUAAUAAUGAUACUGAUUUUAGAUGUAAAAAUGUUUUUGUACAGUUUUGAAUUAUUAGGGUAAAGUUUUUUUAAUUCAAAUUUUUGUUAAUUUUACAGUUUAUGAAUAUAUUGUUAACUCACAGGAUUAUGUAAAGUUUGCCUAUUUGUGAAGCGCUUUGAUCACGAUGGAAAGCGCUAUAAAAAUAAUAUUAUAUUAUCGUAUUGUAUUCUAUUAUAGUAUGGUUGUAUUUGAGGCAUAGAAUCUGCAUAAUUAAUUAUACAUUAGCUAGGCUGAACGUUGGUGUUUGGCGGAGAAAGCAGGACCAUGGAGGAAUUAGUUAAACUAAUUCCUCCCUGAUAGAGCAUGAAUGUGCCUUUAUGUCUAGAAUGAUAUGUUUCAUUUCACUUGCAACAAUAAUGUUGAUCAAGAGAUAUUAUAGCUAUCGGAAGUUUUCGAUAUCCUCGCGAUACCUUCUGGUAGUAAACCCGUUGUUCGAUGACCAGCGGAAUAUUUGUAAGGGAAUUUGAACACGUGAUAACAGCCUAUUGUAUAUUGGAUCGUAGCCGUCACGGUUCAUGUUAAUGGAGGCGCUUUCGCGAGGAUACCGGUACCGAUUAGGAAGUCCGAAGCAAUAAAACACAGGCCGAACUCUGAAGAAAGUAUUGACUCCGUUUAUGUUUUGGAAUCAAAGCCUUCAAGAACAAUCAAUCUCUUGCUGUUAACAUUUUAUGAAUCAAAAAAGCGUGAUCACCAAUCAUCUUAAAUUGCACUUAGACUUGACAAAUGCCGAGCGGUGUCUUUCAUUUUCAAUAAUGUCUAUAAACAUGCGAGGAUUCUGCGUCAGGUGUACAUGUUACAGUAGGUUCAAACAAAAAAGCACUAAGCAACCACUUCGUGAAAUUCUCUCAAAGGGAGAUGAAUAUUUUAUUCCAUAUUUGUUUUAUCCAGUGACCGGGGGUAAUAAUGUGAAGCGCUUAGAGGCUUUGUUGGCAUGAAGUGCGCUAUAAAUUUAGCUUAAUACAGCUAAAUAACGCUUGUAUUUUGUUCUUCAUCAGUAAAAAUUCUUAAAUUAUUAAAUGGUCAAAUAAAUAGCCGAGAUGUUAUCUGCGAUACUAUACUGUAGCCUCGACUUAAAUGGAUAUUGAAAGAACUGUUCUGAAUAUAUUUAUAUCCAAAGUAUUCAAACGAGCUGCAAUAAUAUAAGAAAACAAUUACUAUUUGUCAAUCAAAAAAGUAUGCCACAUCCAUAGGCAAAAUUUGAAAGUAAAACUGUACUGCAUCAUAUACAAAUCAUGGACUUUGUGAAUAUCAUGAUAGACAGGGACGAAAUCCAUGAACUAAUUUGAAUUACUUGAAGCAGUGAGACUUCGAAGAACGCCAAGUAAGCAAAUACUUUGAAUAGAUAAUACUAUAUUAUACAGAUAUAGAGGAUUAUUUUUCUUUGCAUUUAUAUGUAGACCUACUGCAUGUAUUGAAUACAAAACAUUCUAUUUAUACAAACUAUCAUUAUAAAACAUAAUGGGCUUCCGUGAAGCAUAAAUAAUGCUUUUUAUCUCAAUAAAAGUUUAAUACGAUUCAUAAAAAGGCGACAAAUACACAGGUAAAUUUGUGUACAUUCAUUAAUGAAAUACCAAC
rnacentral:misc_RNA from 1 species